AUGAGUUCUAUGGACAAGAAGCCAGAGGGAGGGAACACUGGUACUGGUGACCACAACCAGAAGACAGAGUGGCCAGAGUUGGUGGGGAAGUCGGUGGAGGAGGCCAAGAAGGUGAUUUUGCAGGACAAGCCAGAGGCGUGGAUCGUAGUUCUGCCAGUGGGGACAGUUGUGACCAUGGAAUAUCGGAUCUACCGUGUUCGCCUCUUUGUCGACAGACUCGACACCAUUGCCCAGGUCCCCAGGGUCGGCUAG
rnacentral:rRNA from 1 species